CCUACGGGUGGCUGCAGUGAGGAAUAUUGGUCAAUGGGCGAGAGCCUGAACCAGCCAAGUCGCGUGAGGGAGUACUGCCCUAUGGGUUGUAAACCUCUUUUGUCGGGGAGCAAAAGCCGGACGUGUCCGGCUGUGAGAGUACCCGAAGAAAAAGCAUCGGCUAACUCCGUGCCAGCAGCCGCGGUAAUACGGAGGAUGCGAGCGUUAUCCGGAUUUAUUGGGUUUAAAGGGUGCGCAGGCGGAUUUUUAAGCGUGCCGUGAAAUUUUGUGGCUCAACCAUGAGAGUGCGGCGCUAACUGGAGACCGUGAGUGCGCGGAAGGCAGGCGGAAUUCGUGGUGUAGCGGUGAAAUGCUUAGAUAUCACGAAGAACCCCGAUUGCGAAGGCAGCCUGCCGCAGCGUUACUGACGCUGAAGCUCGAAAGCGCAGGUAUCGAACAGGAUUAGAUACCCCUGUAGUC
rnacentral:rRNA from 1 species